rnacentral:rRNA from 1 species
GUGACAGCCGCCGCGGUAAUACGUAGGGGGCAAGCGUUGUCCGGAUUUACUGGGUGUAAAGGGCGCGCAGGCGGGUUAGCAAGUCAGAGGUGAAAUCCUACAGCUUAACUGUAGAACUGCCUUUGAGACUGCUAAUCUUGAGUACGGAAGAGAGAGAUGGAAUUCCAGGUGUAGUGGUGAAAUACGUAGAUAUCUGGAAGAACACCAGUGGCGAAGGCGGUCUCUUGGUCCAUUACUGACGCUAAGGCGCGAAAGCGUGGGGAGCAAACAGGAUUAGAUACCCCCGUAGUCC